CAGAAUACGGCGUACGCAGAAAGAAUCAACUCCGAAACGAAUGGCGUUACGAUUCAUCCAAUUGAUUGUACUACAAUUCUAUUAUUGCACAUCGUGGGAAUAUAAUUUGAAAAGGAGAUUUGACAACUCGAAGAGAGAUCAGACUUAAGGGAGGUAUCGGGCUUCAGUGGAGCAACUUUGCGAUUCAUCGUAGCAACGUAUCUGAUAACUCCACUGUUGCGCAUCGAUCGAAGCCCACGAGGGAUCAUUGAGCGACAGGAUCAGCAUCGAGAGCAGAUACAACGCAGUUUCCGAUCUCAUCUUCGCCGCGGUGUAUUACGGCGCGACUCGCUCCUGCUUCACGUCCUUCCUUCUCC